AGUGAACGCUGGCGGUAGGCCUAACACAUGCAAGUCGAACGGCAGCACAGUAAGAGCUUGCUCUUACGGGUGGCGAGUGGCGGACGGGUGAGGAAUACAUCGGAAUCUACUUUUUCGUGGGGGAUAACGUAGGGAAACUUACGCUAAUACCGCAUACGACCUACGGGUGAAAGCAGGGGAUCUUCUGACCUUGCGCGAUUGAAUGAGCCGAUGUCGGAUUAGCUAGUUGGCGGGGUAAAGGCCCACCAAGGCGACGAUCCGUAGCUGGUCUGAGAGGAUGAUCCGCCACACUGGAACUGAGACACGGUCCAGACUCCUACGGGAGGCAGCAGUGGGGAAUAUUGGACAAUGGGCGCAAGCCUGAUCCAGCAAUACCGCGUGGGUGAAGAAGGCCUUCGGGUUGUAAAGCCCUUUUGUUGGGAAAGAAAAGCAGCAGGUUAAUACCCCGCUGUUCUGACGGUACCCAAAGAAUAAGCACCGGCUAACUUCGUG
rnacentral:rRNA from 1 species